rnacentral:rRNA from 1 species
UCGCAUGAGCGAGCCUGACGGAGCAACGCCGCGUGAGUGAUGAAGGUCUUCGGAUCGUAAAACUCUGUUAUUAGGGAAGAACAAAUGUGUAAGUAACUAUGCACGUCUUGACGGUACCUAAUCAGAAAGCCACGGCUAACUACGUGCCAGCAGCCGCGGUAAUACGUAGGUGGCAAGCGUUAUCCGGAAUUAUUGGGCGUAAAGCGCGCGUAGGCGGUUUUUUAAGUCUGAUGUGAAAGCCCACGGCUCAACCGUGGAGGGUCAUUGGAAACUGGAAAACUUGAGUGCAGAAGAGGAAAGUGGAAUUCCAUGUGUAGCGGUGAAAUGCGCAAAGAUAUGGAGGAACACCAGUGGCGAAGGCGACUUUCUGGUCUGUAACUGACGCUGAUGUGCGAAAGCGUGGGGAUCAAACAGGAUUAGAUACCCUGGUAGUCCACGCCGUAAACGAUGAGUGCUAAGUGUUAGGGGGUUUCCGCCCCUUAGUGCUGCAGCUAACGCAUUAAGCACUCCGCCUGGGGAGUACGACCGCAAGGUUGAAACUCAAAUGAAAUUGACGGA